rnacentral:rRNA from 1 species
GACGACGGCUGGCGGCGUGCCUAACACAUGCAAGUCUAGGAGAUAAGCGCUUUCGGGUGCUUUAGGUAAACUGGCGAACGGGUGAGUACCACGUAGGUAACCUGCCCUUGGGAUUGGGGAUAACACUGCUAACGCGGUGCUAGUACCGAAUAACGCAACGAGGUCUCAUGGCCUUGUUGUUAAAGCUGGCCUCUAUUUAUAAGCUAGCGUCUGAGGAUGGACCUGCGUCCCAUUAGUUAGUUGGCGGGGUAACGGCCCACCAAGACCGCGAUGGGUAGCCGGCCUGAGAGGGUGACCGGCCACACUGGGACUGAGAUACGGCCCAGACUCCUACGGGAGGCAGCAGUGAGGAAUAUUGCGCAAUGGCCGAAAGGCUGACGCAGCAACGCCGCGUGAGGGAUGAAGUUCUUCGGAAUGUAAACCUCUGUUAGAGGGGACGAAUGAGGGAGAGACCAAUAGACUCUCUCUUUGACGGUACCUUCAGAGAAAGCCCCGGCUAACUCCGUG